rnacentral:lncRNA from 1 species
AACUUCACAAAAAGUUUGCUGCGAUUGAAGAUUUGAUUUUUUUUUUUUUUUUUUUAGGAAUUGGUGAAGGGGAGGAGUUUAAAGCCUGGACGAGUACAAAGGUGAAACAAGAAACGAGCACAGAUGCUGUGGGCAGGGAAGUUGGUGGUUUGAAACUCAGCCUAAAAUACCUCCGAGGUAGACCCAUACACAAUUUGAUGAGUCUGAAUGUAUGCAUACACAUGUGAAACUACAGUCAAGGUAAUAAACAUAUCCAUCAUCUCCAAAAAUUAUCAUACAUUUAUAUUGAAUUUCACCAAAUGCUUUGU